AGAGUGCAGUCUCUCAUUAAAUACACAUCUUCCGUUGUUUCUCUCCAUUCUAAUGUCUUCCUUUGUGGAGUUGUUUUUGUUCACACUUUCUGUAAGGUCUGCAAAGUGAGACGCUGCUCCUCUCACGUCGUCCUGCCAUAAGAGAGGAAGUUGAGUGGAACCCCAUUUCACCUUGGUGGUGCCCUGAUAUUAGGUUUCCAGUAGUAGUUGCAAUUUCAAGUGUUCAACAUGUCCCCCCAAUCAUCGAUCAGGUUUGCUUCUUGGAAGUGAGAAGCUAAUUGGAUUGGGCAGUAUCGGUAAUGAGUCCCCAGACGUUUCCAAAACCUUCUUCCUGGAGUACCAUUGAUGAUCCAGGAGGGUUUGUCUUUGAUGGCUGUGUGUCCGGAUUUUACAGCUUGGAGGAUGGUAUUUGCGGACCCCUAGCUCAUUGUCCAGACCAUUCGUGGAUCUUCUGGCCACCCCCAGCUUGGCUUAAGCCAAUUUUGAGGAAGAAAUGAAUCCAAGUCAUUCUCAAUGUUUGAUUUUAGUUGAAAACAUAUUUAAUUAUUUUUCACUAUGUGGUGAGUUUUCCAUUCUUCAUUUUAUAGUGUCGAAGCAUCAUGGUGAAUAUGCAAAUUUAUGUUGAAUGUAUCAUAUUUAUAGGAAUGAUUUAACUUAACACCCUUA